CCUACGGGUGGCAGCAGUGAGGAAUAUUGGUCAAUGGACGCAAGUCUGAACCAGCAAUGCCGCGUGCAGGAAGACGGCUCUAUGAGUUGUAAACUGCUUUUGUACGAGGGUAAACGCAGAUACGCGUAUCUGUCUGAAGGUAUCGUAAGAAUAAGGAUCGGCUAACUCCGUGCCAGCAGCCGCGGUAAUACGGAGGAUUCAAGCGUUCUCCGGAUUUAGUGGGUUUAAAGGGUGCGUAGGCGGUAGGAUAAGGUAGAGGUGAAAUCCCGGGGCUCAACUUCGGGAGUGCCUCUGAUACUGUUCGGCUAGAGAGUAGGUGCGGUAGGCGGAAUGUGUGGUGUAGCGGUGAAAUGCUUAGAGAUCAUACAGAACACCGAUUGCGAAGGCAGCUUGCCAAGCUACUUCUGACGUUGAGGCACGAAAGCGUGGGGAGCAAACAGGAUUAGAUACCCGAGUAGUC
rnacentral:rRNA from 1 species